UUUUAUUUUUUUUUUUGGGAUGACUUUUUGACUAGUGGGAGUAAAAAGCAGAAGUCACAGCAGCACAGGAUCACAAAAUGGGUACCUGGGAGCAGGAAAAGCACUGCAGUUCUCUUUCUUGUCCUGAAAUUCCGUGUGUUUGAAUGGGCUCAGCUCUAGUGCAGUGUGCCCCUCGCUGUCAUCUAACCUCCCUGCUCCAACAGGGUCAUGCUAGACAACAUGGCACAAGUCAAUAAAGGCAACCUAGCACAGCAUAAUUAAUUCUACCUCUGCCUGGAAAGCAACAUCUCAUCCUGUUGUCAACACUGUGGAGUUCAGAGUUGGUUUUAAUUACUGGAAGUAACUUGUAGUAACCUCCAAGGAACAAGACAUAAUAUUUUUUUUUUAUUCCUCAUGUUUGUGCCCUUUUGCUGCUGGCAACUGUUGAUUCUUUUCACUUGUAGACCUUUUUCUUCACAGUCGUGUCUCCAACACAGUUUAAACAGACACAUUCUGUUUAUGCAGUGCAAUGCCUACAGUAAAGUCAACAUUCUUAUGUGACUAAAAAUAAGUAUUUACUGAAUAAAAGCUUUCCACUUGGUUGUGUGUACCUGUCAAGUGUGCUUAAAUUAUAACCUUUUCACCACAAAAACCAACAGAGAGCAGGUCUGAUGGUUACCCUGCUGAUAAAACUAGUACAGUUUCCCCAUGACUCUGUGCAUAAUUUUAUUUUGCUUUCCAGUUGAUCUCCCUAUCAGCAGCUGAUGGCAAUUUGGCUUUAACAGGACUUCCAUCCCAAAUUUCAUCCCAAAUUUCUCCCUGAGCUGCUGUGUGAGUUCCUGGGCUGAGGGAGGAUGAAGCAUUUUGUUGUGUGUGGAGAUAGACAGUGCAGUCCCUGGCUGAGUCCCUUUCCCAGGAUAAAUGACAGCUCAUGACCAGCUGGGACAUGUUUUCAACUUACAGGAUGAUUUCCUCUCACACCGCCCUUAACCCCUGCACUCUCCUGAUUCACAUCUGAGUGAAUGGAUGAAAAUUAUCUCAGAGAGGUUAGCAGACUGGAAAAUCUUACACCUUUUCUAGCUUGGUUUGAUAUUGGCUGCCUGCCUCACUAUUAGAAUCCAGAUUGCACAAUAAGCUCCAAUAAAAUCAACAGAAAGUGACACAAAUUAAAAUUGCAGUAUAUUCUCCAGGUAUUACUGUUUGAUGCCCACUUUGGGUGGAGACUGGCCUUGAUGACAGAGGAGGUUCCUGUCAUCCAAACCAACACAAGAUUUGUCAUUCCUUGGUUUGUCAGAAUUAAGAAGAACUCACACAAAUCGUCAGUGGAAGAAAAGAUCAGCUGUGUCAAAAGUCAGAAACCUCUCUGCCGCAUCCAGUGCCUGGUGACAAGGAUAGCCCUGUCUGGUUGGAAAAUAUCUGUGCCCCCAUGCCACUCAUGAAAACACUGAAUGUUAUGAAAGAGUUUUGAAAACAUGCAAGAUCCAGACUCAGUGGAAUCAUAUUUACCAGCAUUGUUUUAGCAGGCUGAUGUUGGUACCCUGAGCCUGGAGCUGGGACAUGGGGCUGACUAAUUUUUCAGAUCUAGGUGAGCCUUAUUCUGAAGGGGUCUUAUACAGCACCUGUAUUGUCUUAUUUACAGAAGGGUGCAUUUAACCCAAAACACACAUUCUCCAUGUUCCACGUGAAGGCAUUAGACCAGUGACAGCAGCUUCUUAGUGAUUCAGAAUAAAAUCACUGUGUGAAUAGGUGUGUGCAUGUGCCUGGGGAGAAGUUAUCAGAAUCAAUGCACCUUUACUUUUUUGCCUUUCAUCAACAGCUUGGUUUUCAAACAAAGUGAUUGAUACUGUAUUUUCGUCUUGGCAAUCUCCUAAUGCACUAGAACAAUUUUGCUGUUGGCUGGAACUAGUUAUAUGCAGUGGGAAGCAAAACUACCCCUUUUCAGCUUUCAAAGCUACACAUUUCUUGCUUUUCAUCUCAAAAGAAUUUUUUUUAAUGACUGUUUAAAACUUUGAAUUUACAGUUAUUUACAGGGAGUAAGGACUCAGUCCUUGUGAGCUGGUGAGCUCUGGUCACAGUGACACCAUAUUGUCAUUAAACUAUCUACAGCUCAGGGGCACCUAGGAAUAAUCUGUCUCCUUAUUACAGCUAGGAAUGCAAGUUUUGGAAACCUGAAUUUUCAUUCUUCUGUCUUUCUUGAAGUGUGUCAUGGCAGAUGGUAAGUCAGUUGUAUGCCUAGAGGCAGGUAAUCCAGCUGCUCAAAGCCCUUAGCAGAGGCUGCCACAUUGCUGUGGUACAUCUCCUCUACCCAUGUGUGGGGGAGAGGAUCAUCCAUCUGGACAGCCACCUUACAGGGAGGCACUGUGCCUCUCUUCCUCCACCUCCUCUCACAAUAACUUUUUGUAUUACAUAAGUGUGUGCUACCAUGUCAGACAAGAAAGAAUAACAAGACAGGCACUUGUUAAUGAAACACUUGUCAUGUGUUGACCUUUCUUUCAUUAAGAACCAGGCCCUCAUAUUUUAAAUAGAUGGCAAAUGGACAUUUUCUAUUCACUGUGACUGUUAAAACAGCUUUUUGUACUAAUGGACCAACUUCAUCAUUGCAAUUAUCCAACUACUAGAUUGCACUUGAACUUUGUAAUGAUAUCAGCAGGAAACAGUUUGAGUGCUGGGUAAAACCAUCCUGCACACUGGGCUUGUCUUGGUGGCUGUCAGCUGGAUUCAGAAGAAGUGGAAAAGGAGGAAAAUAUCUGCAAGUCUCAAAAUUAAUGAGUAUUAAUUAAUCCUUAUUGUGUAGGCAAGUGAAAAUGGUAAUAAUUCCUUAAAAAGCUCAGUGCAACUUGGAAGUUGUUGUAUACAAAUAUUUACGUGUAUGUGUUGCCCAUGUGUAUAUGUAACACUCAUAUGUACAUACACACAUAUAUAUAUAUAUAUAUAUAUAUAUAUAUAUAUAUAUACUCAUGUUUUCUAUCUAUAAGCUCAUCAACAUGCCCCAGAUGGAAGUGGAUGUGAUCUCCCUCAACUUUCUUCUGUAUUUCUACACAUGGUAAAAUUACCAAUGGAGAAAGAAUGACUAAAUUAUUCUUUCUAGUUAAGCAUAAAACCAAAUGAAAGGAGCCUGGCUUUACAAGGUGGACAUGGUGCCAGAAUAACCUGAUAGCUUCCCCUAAAUGAGAUAUGGAUUUUCCAAAAUAAAAAAUGUGGUAAACCUCAUUUGCACCUUUGCAAAGUAGUUGAUACGCCGCUAUAUUGGAAAGUACUAAUGGAACAAAAGAAGACUGCGUUUAACAGAUGACACGAAAGGUGGGAAAGAACUGACCAAUGGGAAAUGGCAGAGGAAGAGAAAGAAAUGAGUCAAGAAAGAAGUCACAAUGAGUUCUUCAAGGGUCAAUUUUAGGACCAGUGCUGGCAAUAUUUUCAUGAAGUGCAUUAGCAUAUGAAGUCAGCAGGCUCUUGAAAUCUGAAGAUGAAGGGGCAUAGCUAACAUGUAAGACUUAUCAUUUAUUAAAACUUUUCUGACUCUUACAGAUAAAUGUAAGAGAUGUUUGAUUAGAACAGAAUUUCAGUGUGUGCACUUCAGGCUUAAUGAGGAAUUUGUCUAAGGGGGACAAGAGAUGACUCAGAUAGAGAGGACUGCGUGGCUAUGACUGUGAAUUGACCAUGGGAUGAACCCAUGAAGAAGGUGUUUGUGGCCAUAGCAUACAACAGACAAAGUAUUUCCAGCAGAAAGUGAAAGCUCCAUUGUAGAAGACAUGGGUGAAUGUGCAUCUGCAACACAAUUGCUGCCACGUUUCUCUGAAAAAGAUUAAUUAAUCUUCAACAAGUGCAGAGGUACCAUAAAGCAUGUCAUAUAAGAGAUGGCAUGAAGUGCUGCUUAGUCUAAAAAAUAAAGGUUAUGAUAAGAUACUAAAUUCUUUCUAAGAAGAUAUUGGUUAGCCUAGUGUCAUCUUUUUCCUAUUUAAGGAAAAGGAGAAAAAACACAAGUAACCAUAUCACAUUUAGACUGGAUAGUAAGAACAGGUUCUCAUUGUUGAAUUGCAGAAGUCCUCUAACCUUCUAGAGGACUACAGCUGGAAACAGCUUCCUCCCUUCAAUAACUCUAGCAAGUUUUAGGGCAAAAUUCAGCCCAUUAACAUCACAAUCUCAAGCCAGGGCCUAGUCUAGGUUUGGUAAUGCAGAUGGUCUCUGGAAACACUAUAACCGGUCACCCAAGUUCCUAUUUCCCUGGAAAAACUGUAAAUUACUUUGAGAAAUAACAUUUAAAUGGGAGCCUUGCUUGCUAGGAUUUAGCUUGGAAUCACAAAGUGAGGCAGAUACAGCCAUGCUAUCCAUCCUGCAGUACAGUGGGAAUCCUGAAUGUCUCAUAGAUAUGUAAUGCAAAGUUGGCAUUUCUGUAAAUCACUUUCUGCUACCCCUUCAAAACUUGUUAUGCUUUUAUAAAAAUGAAGAUUUACAUUCCAACAGGGGGAGGGCUCUUCUGCACAUUUUUCAGCAAAACUGCCAGCAUGGCUUGCAGGCAUACCAGAUGUACCGGAUAAGCUCGCUCAGCGUUUCUUACUCCCAUUGAAGUGACUUGCUAGAGACAGGCAGGAGGGGAUGUUCCAUGCAUUCCUCUUCCAAAAGAAAAUUCAAGCAAAGGACAUGUAAUUUCAGCACAGGAUAUACCUUGAUUCAUACUUUAUUGAUGAAAGAAAAUCACUUGUUUACUCAAGAAUGAGAUAAGCCUGGGAAUGAUGGUUAUGGGUGGUGACUCAGUGCUGUUCCAUAUUACCAUUUCCUUACAAUCGAGCCGUGGUAUCUCCUUGCAGUCAUAAAUGUAAUGAAAUAGGUAGUGCCUUAGGGUAUAAACUGUUUUCUUGUGCUAGGACACUGUGCCCUUUUAAUAACUAAGGUAGCCAAAUUGUGCGUGUCUCUGUCCCAGGCCAGUGAGGAGCCACGUGUGGGAAUCCCACCUUGGGCCCUGUGGAGCCCACUCUGGGCAUGAGGCUGGAGGAGUUUUCACCAGGUCCUGUUUUAGCUAAGGAGGGCUUUACACAAAGGGAAAAAAGUUAAUCCAGUGGCAACACUGUGUACCUAAGUCAGACCCUGCUCUUUCCAUACAGAAAGAGACCAAGAAGGCAGCUGGCCUCCCCAAAAGGUAGCUUUUGUCAGCCUCACUCACUUGUGCCCUCUGGCCAUCACGGACUGUUGUGAAGAUGUGAAAGCUGCAGGACAUCUUGGCACUUUAAAAAUAAUAUUUUAUGUUCCUUUACCAAUCUGCGUCUUCUCAUGAUGCAUGGACAGGCAGAAAAGCCAACAGUGCAUGACAAAUGAGCAUGAGAAAUUUCAUGAAACAUUGAGUGCGAUGUUUUGUCCUGGCUGCUGCUCCAGGAAUGGUGAAGGCUACUGAGCUGCAGGAGCCCAAGCAGAAUCAGCACAAGAGUAACUAGAUACUGGACCCAGCAAACCAGUAUGUCAGGGAUUAUGCACAUGGGGUCUGCUUGCUCACAGUCCAGCAGAGAGUGUUGCUGCUCUAGGGUAUUGCAAGUAUUACACCUGGGAGAGUUAUGAUGUUAUUAUUAUGGUCCCCUGCUAUCUCAUGCAAUUGCAGAUUGCAAAUUAUGUUCUUCAUUAGUACUAUUUGCAUCUUGCAGUCCAGUUAAAGGAAUUUUUAAUUUAAUUUCCUUUGCAAAGGAAGGAAAACAGGAUUGGUAAAACAUUGUGGAUGCUGUUUGAUGUUUGGCGAUCUUUCCUAAUGAUCAUCUACUAUGAUUUAACUUUUUUCUUUCUCCUUUUUCUUUUUAAAAUAAUUUUUAAUUAAUUUAGUAUGUGACUAUCAACAGAUAUAUUUAAUGCCAUGUAAACUACACAGUUAUUAUGUCCAUUAUAUAGAGUGGUCUUUGUUGAUAGCUAUGAUGCAUGUGCUAUCCAAAUCCACUGGUACUAGAUAGAAAUCCUCUUGCUUCUAAAUGAUUAGAUAAUGAAUAGGACUUUUGAAUGCUCUGGACUGCAAUUCUUAAAUACCAAUUAACACCUCCUUUUCAGGAUUUGUUGUUAUGAAACCUGUCUAAACUGAUUUUCUCUUUGUAGUUGAAAUUACAGGAAAAGAUGUCGCAAAACCUGAAUAAGAAAAUGGAGAGUAUAUUGCUUCUUACAGAAGAUAUUUGAGAUUUGUAUGAUAUAGCUAAAAUUAGAAAAUAUAUUUUAAAUGUUAAGCAGUUCUAUUUCAACAAUAUAAGGCUUUUUAAAUGAGUGCAACUUUUAACAGUU